GGUGACGUCUAAUCAUCUCCCAAUCGUGUUCAGUGGCAUUGUAAGAGCUAGGAGUAAUACAAAACUCAGAAGUAUUCCAAUCACAUUGCAUUUGAAUUCUAUGCUCCAAGCUCAUAAUCCGAUCUCCCAUCCAAAUUACUGUUUGACGGAGAUCAUUAAUUUGAUUUGCCAAUUUUUGAUCUAUUUGGCUUUGGGAAUUCCAAAGCUUAGAAUAAUUUUUCUGCCAACUACCCACAAAGUCCGCAGUUUGAAUAGAAGAGUGCAAAGCAACACCAGCAAGGCCCAGGACCACAGCUAUUAAAGUGUAAUUUUGAUCUGCCUCUGCUACAGGAAGACUCACCACCAAGGAGAUUACCGCCAUCAUAGCUACCAUUAGAUUACUGGUGGUCAGCGGCUUGUUCUGAGACCUCAGGUUCUCUUCUGCAAUGUGAGCCAGUCUCUUCAUCUGCCCCCAGGUCGGUGGAGUUGCUUGGGGAGUUUUACUGGUUUCCAUCUGCUCAACAGAGAUGUUCAUCUGAGCCGUCUGACGAACUGGGGGCGCAGAGACAUUCUGAGGUCUUUUCCUCUUCUUGGACUCUGUCUCAUGGCACAGCUUAAGAUGUCUUGUGGGUACCCAGACAGGAAGCUGAUUCUCUCCUGGUGAAAUACAAGCAAAUCCUCAACCUCAACAAGACCCACUGGGGCCUUUUGUUUGGGCCAGUUUUUUGGCCAUUGGUAAAGAGCUAUGAUCGACACAUCUGCUCCUAUGUUGACCAGACCCUCAAAUUGUUUUCCUUGAAUGGUGACCAUACAAAUAGGUCUAUUGUCAGAGACUUGAUUUACCCAAUAGGCAGCCUUGCCUGCUGAAUUUGUGCUUCCAAAUCCUCCUAUUCUUUUUUCUGAGCUUUCUCCUAACUUAACAUACGGCAAAAGCAACAGUUGAGCUAUUCUGUCACGUGGAUUAGCACUCCAGGGAACAGUGGAGGAGAUAACAAUUUGAAUUUCU
rnacentral:lncRNA from 10 species